CAAGAAGCCGAAAGGCUACUUAAAACCAUCGCGAACUUAUCCAAGUUGCUUCGGCGGCGCGGCUCCCCUCACGGGGGACCGCAGCCCUACCCGCCUCUCACGAGGCAAGGGGCAGCCGCCUGGAGGUACGAAACUCUGUAUUAUAGUGGUAUCUCUGAGUAUAAAACAAAUAAGUUAA
rnacentral:misc_RNA from 1 species